rnacentral:rRNA from 1 species
GACGUAGGGCGCGAGCGUUGUCCGGAUUUAUUGGGCGUAAAGAGCUCGUAGGCGGUCUGUCGCGUCGGAUGUGAAAAUCCAGGGCUCAACCCUGGACCUGCAUUCGAUACGGGCAGACUAGAGUUCGGUAGGGGAGACUGGAAUUCCUGGUGUAAGCGGUGAAUGCGCAGAUAUCAGGAGGAACACCGGUGGCGAAGGCGGGUCUCUGGGCCGAAACUGACGCUGAGGAGCGAAAGCGUGGGGAGCAAACAGG